rnacentral:rRNA from 1 species
CCCUUAGAUGUUCUGGGCCGCACGCGUGCUACACUGAGUGGAUCAGCGGGUCAGGUUGCGCGAAAGUGUUUCCUAAUCUUGAAAUCCGCUCGUGAUGGGGAUUGACGGUUGCAAUUUUCUGUCAUGAACGAGGAAUACCUUGUAAGCGCGGGUCAUCAUCCCGCGCUGAAUACGUCCCUGCCCUUUGUACACACCGCCCGUCGCUCCUACCGAUUGAGUGGUCCGGUGAGGCUUUGGGAUCUGGAUGGAAAGAGCGUUUCGCUGUUUCUGCCCGGAAAACUCAGUCGAACCUUAUCAUUGAGAGGAAGGAGAAGUCGUAACA